GGAGGGUGCAAGCGUUAAUCGGAAUUACUGGGCGUAAAGCGCACGCAGGCGGUUUGUUAAGUCAGAUGUGAAAUCCCCGGGCUCAACCUGGGAACUGCAUCUGAUACUGGCAAGCUUGAGUCUCGUAGAGGGGGGUAGAAUUCCAGGUGUAGCGGUGAAAUGCGUAGAGAUCUGGAGGAAUACCGGUGGCGAAGGCGGCCCCCUGGACGAAGACUGACGCUCAGGUGCGAAAGCGUGGGGAGCAAACAGGAUUAGAUACCCUGGUAGUCCACGCCGUAAACGAUGUCGACUUGGAGGUUGUGCCCUUGAGGCGUGGCUUCCGGAGCUAACGCGUUAAGUCGACCGCCUGGGGAGUACGGCCGCAAGGUUAA
rnacentral:rRNA from 1 species